AAAGCGGCAGGCGCGUCAGAUAAUGGAGGCGAUUGAGCUUGGUGUGGCGAAACUGCUGAGGACCAAAGAGUAAGAGACUGAAAAAAUCAUGCAAAGGAAAUAAUUGUUUUUCUUAAUAAAUCACUAGGUCCUUUGUGGUAUUUUUAUAUUGGGUAUAAAAGUCCUUUUCUUUUAAAUAAAUAAAAAAAGUGGUAGAGACAUAAAAUACUAACUUCUCUUCACAACCUCUUGUUAUAUAAAAUUUUAUUUUAUCUCAUUUAUUAGAACUAAAAGCACAAGUUUUUAUCAAGACCUCAUAAAACGAGCGCACUUUGAAGGUUGAGUGCAUGAUUGGCAUACGUACGGCAUGGACUUUUCAGGCCAUGUCAAGUUUCUUCUAUGGAAAGUAGAAUAGAAAUGUGCUUGAGGAUUAUUGCCCCGUUCCAAGUGAGUCUUAAGGUUUAAGAUGGGUAUACAAACAACUUUUAUCAAGGGUUAAACUUGUUAUCUUCAUAUUAUUCAUUCAAUAAACUUUUGAGAUUUUCUCAUAUAGAAUGGUGGACUACACACAUCGUUACUUUAGGGUUAUUGUUUAAGUUCUUUGAAUUCAUGCUGCGUCAAUAAUUUUUUUGGCAAACAAUAGAAUACUCUAUCUACCAAACUAAGCUAAACUACUGGAAGGGAAGACGAGUUAGAAACCGGAACAAAGUGGGAUGAAGAGAAAAAUCUUAACUACCAGGACAAUCCAUUAUUUGUAAAUUACAACUGAUAAUAUUUUUAAGGGUAAAUUACAUAGUAGUCCUUUAGGUUUGAGGUCUAUUGCAAUCUUAUACAUCUUUAAAACAUUUUAUUUUCAUAUCUCAAGUACUAUUUUAUUUCAAUUUCUUACAACCGUUACAUUUUCCAUCUAUGGAUCUGUUAAAUGCUGACGUGGCUGACACAUAUAUAGCACGUGGCUGCCAAAUGUCUACCACGUGGCAAAUAAAAUAAUUUUUUAAUUUUUUUUAAAAACAUGUCUGCCACUUUUUUUUUCCUUCUCUUUCUUCUUCUUCUUCUGGGUUCAAUCCUUUUUUUUCUUUUCUUCUUC
rnacentral:lncRNA from 1 species